CGUAACGCGUAUAGAAUCUGCCUUCAACAGGGGAAUAGCCCAGAGAAAUUUGGAUUAAUGCCCCAUAACAUUAUUACUUCGCAUGAGGUAAUAAUUAAAGUUCCGGCGGUUGAAGAUGAGCAUGCGUCCCAUUAGUUAGUUGGUAAGGUAAUGGCUUACCAAGGCGAUGAUGGGUAGGGGUUCUGAGAGGAUGAUCCCCCACACUGGUACUGAGACACGGACCAGACUCCUACGGGAGGCAGCAGUGAGGAAUAUUGGUCAAUGGACGCAAGUCUGAACCAGCCAUGCCGCGUGAAGGAUGACGGCCCUAUGGGUUGUAAACUUCUUUUAUAUACCAAGAAAUUAUCCUAUGUAUAGGGUAUUGACGGUAGUAUAUGAAUAAGGACCGGCUAACUCCGUGCCAGCAGCCGCGGUAAUACGGAGGGUCCAAGCGUUAUCCGGAUUUAUUGGGUUUAAAGGGUGCGCAGGCGGAAUAAUAAGUCAGUGGUGAAAUCCUACAGCUCAACUGUAGAACUGCCUUUGAUACUGUUAUUCUUGAGUUAAGUUGGAGUAGGCGGAAUGUAGCAUGUAGCGGUGAAAUGCUUAGAUAUGCUACAGAACACCAAUCGCGAAGGCAGCUUACUAAACUUAUACUGACGCUCAGGCACGAAAGCGUGGGUAGCGAACAGGAUUAGAUACCCUGGUAGUCCACGCCGUAAACGAUGAUCACUCGCUGUUGGCCAUACACCGUCAGCGGCUAAGCGAAAGUGUUAAGUGAUCCACCUGGGGAGUACGAUCGCAAGGUUGAAACUCAAAGGAAUUGGCGGGGGCCCGCACAAGCGGUGGAGCAUGUGGUUUAAUUCGAUGAUACGCGAGGAACCUUACCUAGGCUUAAAUGGGAAAUGCCCUUAGUGGAAACGCUAAUUUUCUUCGGAACAUUUUUCAAGGUGCUGCAUGGUUGUCGUCAGCUCGUGCCGUGAGGUGUCGGGUUAAGUCCCAUAACGAGCGCAACCCCUAUCCCUAGUUGCUAACAGGUUAAGCUGAGGACUCUAGGGGAACUGCCUACGUAAGUAGAGAGGAAGGUGGGGAUGACGUCAAAUCAGCACGGCCCUUAUGCCUAGGGCUACACACGUGCUACAAUGGUCGGUACAGAGGGCAGCUACCUGGUGACAGGAUGCCAAUCUCCAAAGCCGAUCUCAGUUCGGAUCGAAGUCUGCAACUCGACUUCGUGAAGCUGGAAUCGCUAGUAAUCGCAUAUCAGCCAUGGUGCGGUGAAUACGUUCCCGGGCCUUGUACACACCGCCCGUCAAGCCAUGGAAGUUGGGAGCACCUAAAGUCCGUCACCGUAAGGAGCGGCCUAGGGUAAAACUGGUAACUAGGGCU
rnacentral:rRNA from 1 species